GCUGAAAUGGCACAGUUGGGAGAGCGUCAGACUGAAGAUGUGAAGGUCCCUGGUUCAACCCUGGGUUUCAGCA